AUUAGCCCUAAAUGGCACUUUUGAAAUUAACUUUAUUUUCUUUCUUCCGGUCUUUUUCAUUAGGGAAAAGGAAGGAGAGGAAGAUCAGGGGUCAGGGGCAGCCGAAAACUGAGAAAAAGAGAGCGACACAGCAGCUGACGAAAACUUCUGCAACGGAGGAACUGAGUCGAACAGUUACCGGACGGAGAUUGAAGUCACUGGAGGUCCUUCCGCCCAGUUAGGAGUGGCGUUCAGUUGACGGAGUACGUCAGUUUUUUCGAGCAGUUUGACAGCGGCUUGGUGGCUGGUCUCGAGCGGUGGCGGUCUUGGCCGUGGUUUCGAGCCGUCAGAGUUGAGUUUAGCCGUUGGGUGUUAUUCUGCCGUUGGUUCUUCUUAGGUUUGCAGUGGGUUGUUCCACACGUGGAUCUCCGGUCAGUGGUGGUUUUCGGUUAACUAGGAAUGGCCUAUCAAGUUACUUGAAGUUCAACCUGUCAUCAUGAGCUUAAUCUUCCUCUCUUUUGAUCUUCCCUUCCCGUUUGCUACUAUAGUUGAAUCUAAUGUUAGGGACGUGGUGAAUCUGGUUAACAAUGCUUGUCAGAUUUUACUGAGGUUAAGAAUACUGUCGAUGAAAUUUGUGUCGGAUACUGUGCCUUCUUGUGUGUAACAAAGUUACUCAUUAUGUAAUCUGCCAUGCUCCAAUUUGGAAGAUGUUGAGCAAAGUUGGGUUGUCGUAGUGACGUUCUGAUUUGGGUUUUGGAUGUAAUUAAUGUUUACCUUGUUUCCUUUGCC